GACGAACGCUGGCGGCGUGCUUAACACAUGCAAGUCGAACGGAAAGGCCCCUUUGGGGGUCCUCGAGUGGCGAACGGGUGAGUAACACGUGAGUAACCUGCCCUUGACUUCGGGAUAACUUCAGGAAACUGGGGCUAAUACCGGAUAGGAAUCCUUGCUGCAUGGUUGGGGUUGGAAAGCUUCGGCGGUUUUGGAUGGACUCGCGGCUUAUCAGCUUGUUGGUGGGGUAGUGGCUUACCAAGGCUUUGACGGGUAGCCGGCCUGGGAGGGCGACCGGCCACAUUGGGACUGAGAUACGGCCCAGACUCCCACGGGGGGCAGCAGUGGGGAAUAUUGCCCAAUGGGCGGAAGCCUGAUGCAGCAACGCCGCGGGCGGGAUGACGGGCUUCGGGUUGUAAACCGCUUUCAGCAGGGGCGAAGCUUGUGGUGACGGUACCUGCAGAAGAAGCACCGGCUAACUACGUG
rnacentral:rRNA from 1 species